CUUGCGCUUUGAAACCCAAGGCUCCCGCCAAACCCCAGCAGCUCCUCUGAAGUGGGCCAAAGGCAGGCAGUGCGCUGACGGCACGUGGCCUGCGGGGGUCUGGGAGACGCCGCCACGGGGAAUCGCUGCUUCACGGGGUCACUGCCUGGAGUCACUGUCACCGGGGGUCGCUACCGGGAGGGAUUGCUACCAUGAGGGGUCACCCGAAGACGGAUCACUGCCUCCAAGUGCUCCCGCCCGACCCCGACAGCCACGCCCGCAAUAUUCCCCACCCAUAUCCCCACUGCCACCUCUGGGCGGCCCAUGCGUCGUAACAGUUUAUUUGGGGACCCGAAGGCAACUGGGGAAAGGCAUCGCCACCCAGCCGGGCUUCCCACUGAUUGGCUGAACGGGAGAAAGGCCGGCGGUAAUUGAUCUGGCCGGACGCCUCGGGAGCGCAUGCCUCGCGCCCAGCCUUCUUUCCGCCAGGGGCCGGUGGGUCAACGCGAUUGGUGCAGACGCGUAGGCCCGCCGCUGACGGCGCCGUGGCGUCGCUACCCGGCCUGUCCCGCGUUGCUUCGUCUCUCCCCACGUGAUGUUCUGGCCUGAGUCAAGAUGGCGGUGCAGGAGCCCGCCCACCAGCUGCCCAUGACCCUGGAGGUGCAGGAGUACCCGACACUUAAGGUGGGGUCUGCGGGGCAGGGCCGCAGUGCCUGGUGGCGCUCGCCAGCCUCGGGUACCCGGGACACCGGGAGAGGAGGGGCAGGGUGGGAGGCGGAGCGCGGCCUGGGGGUCCGGACAGGGUUGGGCGUUCGUCCCGCUCUGCCGCUGGUUCUUCUGGGCACGUCGGCUGCCCCUGCCCGCCCCCGUCACCCCGCUCCGGGCUUGUGGUCACCCUUAGGGGCACACAGUGGCACCCCACGCACGACCUUCAGUGGUGUGUGUCAGCUUCCUGAGCAGCAGCCAGGUGGCGGCCGGUCCAGGCAGCCGCACCGUUGCCCUCUCCCCCUGCCCCUGGACACUGCCCGCCUGGUGUCUGGGCCGGGCUCUCAAGCUGCGCGUCAGCCUCCAGCCAGCUCAAGGCCUGCAAUCCGCACCGGCUCAGUUUGCUAAGCUGUAAAUAGGGGUAAUUCUUGCCUGCCAGGAUUUCUACAAGCGUUCCAUGAGGUCAGGGAAUGUCAGCCGCCCUCUGAAGUACCCAUCUAACAAAGUCUCCUUGGCUGCCCCCACCUGGCACCAUCCCUGCAUGAUCUGAGGCGUCACGCUGCUCUGACUCCUACAGGCAGAGGAGAGAGUGGUUGCUGCUCUGGGCGUCCACCAUCCACACCCUUCUUGUGUGGGCAGGCCACCGCGUUAGGAAGCCGUGCUCACCUCCCACGGUAGCAAUGGGGUAGAAGGUGCUGGGUAAUGGUUUCACAGACCCCUUACGGCCAGGGCGCGGGCUGAUGACCUGGGUUCUGCCGGUCCCGUGCACUGCCUUGGACUUUGACUAAGAAGACAGCGAGAGGUGCAAAGGUCGGGGUCCUAAAGUGGUGUGUCUGCAAGCAAAGUGGUAUGAUUACUGGACCUGAAUUUGUGUUUUCAAAGGAACAGCAAGGGGGCAGUAGCCCCCAAGAGCUCGGGGACCCAUAAUGUGUUUCUCCUGCUAUCAGAAUUUCAGGACCAAGGACAGCAGCUGCCUUGCACCAUCGCGCCCUCUGGUGGCCACUGUAUUGGAAAGAGCAAGACAUUGUCUGGGGCCCUUCCAGCUGGUGAGCCGGGUCUUAGCGAAGGGUGGACUCCAAAGGAAGAAUGGGAGAGAAGGGCAGCGAAGGAGAGGUGCGUGUGGCAGUGGCAAAGAUCCCAACCUAGGCAGAAACGCUCACUCCGAAUGUUCCCAACUGCCUCAGUUUACUUGAUCGCGUGACAGGUGGUGGGCCCAGCAUCAUGUGGAACCGUAUUUACUCACUCAAACCAGGGGUCACUGGGAUUCAACACGAUCCAUAUUUCACCACACUGACGUCACCCCUUCCCUUUUCCUCUUGCUCAUAUUCCUUUCCUGGAGAUUUUACGUUGAAAUAUCCCUUUCAUCACAGCGUGCAUCGUCCUUACAGACAGUACCUUGUUCUCAUCAGCAAAGCAACAGUAAUUCCUUGGACUCAUCUGGCAGCGUCCCCUAUCGAAUGUCCCCUCACUCUGCAGCUGCCACUCGCGGGGUGCUCAGGGUUGGUUGAAUGGAUGCUUUGGUCCUCGUCCGCAUCUCCUCAGCUCCGCCCCAGUCCAGCCGCUGACGUUGUCUUUCCUCGCCCCAACACCAUAAAUUCUUGACUCAUUGCAUGUCGUGCAGCUAGUGGCAGGAGCUUGGACUGGGUAACAGAUUUGGUGAGCCAGCCAGGAGCUGCUGCUCGUCCCCAGUCAGGGGUUCCUUGGGUAAGUCUCUAGCAGCUGCCAGGACUAUUUGUUCUGGGCUCUCCUCUGAUCCGCCUGAACAGGCCCUAGCACCUGCCUAAUGGAGCAAGGGGUCAAUAGACUCGACAUUUCAAGUAGGGUUAGUCGCUCUUGUGUGUAUGACUGGAAACCCCCUUCCCUCCAUUGGGGCUUUUUUUUUUCCUGUAGAAAAGUUGUUUUGUGUUUGAUCGGGUGACCCAUUGGAGAAGGGAACAGUUGUUAAAAUUGUAGGGGAUUUGUGAACUGGUUCAUUUGCAUUUGUUUUUGGCUAUUGGCAUUUGUUUUGGGCCCAUUUGCAUUUAUUUCUGGUUUGUUAACAUUUCUUUCUGGUUUAUCUGUAUUGCUGAUUUCUGUGUUCUCUGUACUGUUACUUUCAAGAAUGGGGAAUGCACCUUCUGUCCCCAUGGGAAGCCCAUUAGGACAUAUUGAAUAGAAAGUCAGAUAACAGCUUGAACAUGUAAUUAAGGUGAUAUCUUAUUGUAACACUCCACAUUCCUAAUACGUAUUAGAAUCAGGAGAAUGAUGGCCUUUAAACAGCUCACUAAACUACUGUACUGUUUUAUAAUUGGAAUUGUUUUGUGUGAAAACAGGGAAAGAUGAUAAAAUCCCUUAUAUACAGGUGCUCAUAGUGUUGCAGCAUGAUAAAAGGAAAUGGGAUGAUUGCCACCUUAUAGUGUAAACACCUGUGAAGCAACCACAGAAAAAGCCUGUUUUGCAGGGGGGAGAAAUGGUGGACAGAGAGGAGGGAGCAUUAGCUCAAACUCUGAGUCCACCCCCAGUUUGCCAUGGUAUCCUUGCCUUUACUGCCCCCCCACCCCCAUUCUAGGGCCACCAUCGGUGCCUCCGCCACCACCACUGCUGCCCCGACACUUAGGAUUGGGGAGCAAGAAGCAUCCACAAAAAGGCAGGAGCCUCCCGGGUGGUAGAAAGGGAGUAAAAUUCACAGGGCAUACGAAGGGGUUCAGGAGCUCCCUUGGAUUAAGAUAUGUGACUCAAAUUUCCCCACAGGAGCCCCAGGGAAAAUUUACAGUGGGGAACAGAUGAUUGACUUUUUAGCAUAUGCCCCACCAAACAGGAAAAGCUUCUGAAAUGGCUAAAGCCCUUCUGAAAAGCAAAGGCUUUAAAAUGCCUUUCUAUGCUUUAAAAUGUCUAUUCUAAAACUUUCCAGAAUGUGAAAACUAACCCAAAUGUUUUUCAAGUUCAUGUGAUCUGGGAAAAUAUUUUUAAAAGUAUUAAAGCUAAUGUUUAUUGGCUUAUUUAAAAUAGACAUGCCUUUAGAGUUAGUAGCAGUAGAAUGAAAAUCUUUAUUCUGCCUGGGUUUACUUAAAAGGCAUAUAAGUUGCUGUUAUCUGCUAAAUAUUUUAAAAAAGUAGUUUGGGAGAAUGGUUGACUUUGUCUCAUGAAGUUUUUAUGGAUAACACAUAAUUAUUAAGAACAAGUAAAUUAACUAAGUGUGAGUGAAGUUUUAGGUGAACUUUUUAAUAAUUAUGUGUUAUAAUAUGCAUACCUGAAAUAGCUUGAAAAUCUUUUUGGUAGCCUGAAACCUUAAAGUUUCAGUAAGCUAAUUAAAUUGAGCCAAGACAAAAUAAUGAAACAUUAAGUACUGAACUUAUAUAAGGCUUAUAUACUUUUGGCUUCCUUGUUACAGAGAAAUGAAAGAUAAAUUUUGGUCUGCUAAUAAAUAUGUUUUAUACUUUAUUGGAAGAUUGUACUGUGAAGAAGCACAUGUUCUAAAAAUUAUGAAAUGUCUUCAUAAAUUUGCCAAUCUAAAGAGUGCUGCUGUGAUAGUUCACAAUUACUUAGUUUUAACUAGGAAUAAAGUUUCCAAGGAUUAACCGUUCAAUAAGAAGACGUCACCGUGUGCAAGAAAAAGAGGAUUGUAUUGUCAGUAAAAGAAGAUGUAAGAAAUGGAGAUGCCUUUUUGUUAAAUGAGAGAAAGAACUUUUAAUAUAAAAAAUUAGAAUUUGCUUUUCUUCUUGUUAAAAGGAUCAAGUUUUCUGGAACUACUGGUCUGCUCUUGAUGUUAAGAGAUUAUGAAAGGUUUUUCUUUGCCUUAAAGUAAUUGUUGUAGCAGAAUAAUUUCUUGUGCUUCAUGUUGUCUUAACCAGGUCUUUGAUUACUUAAGGAAGCUGAAUCUUCUCAAUACUAAGAGAGCUAAAUUCUGCUAGCAACGAUGUAACCUUCUGCAUUUGCCUUUAAAAUAUUUUAUUGUCAUGUGGAUUAAAAUGAGUGGCUAGAUGUUGUUUCAUAAUGGUCUGUGAUCGCAUUUGAACAAACUUAAAACUUAUUUCAGAGUUUGCAGCAAACUUCCCAGGGUCAGUUCUAAAUGGAGUGCCUUACCUCUGGGUGGCUCUGAAAUCUUUUUCAGAGAACGCUGGGACAUGUCAGGAUUUUCUCCUCAUGGAGGGGUGAUACUAAACUGAUAAAACUUACCUAUUGAGUACAUUGAUUUAUAUGAGGAACAUUGUUGGGUAAGUAAUGCUAAACCUUUUUUGAUUAAAAUCAUAUAAAAUAUGUUAUUAAAAGAAAUGUUCUGGAAGUUAUAUAAAACUCAUAGAAAUCUGGUAUGUCCUGAUGUUAUCACUUGUAAUUAUAGUUACUGAGAUGUUAUGCAUCACAAAGAUAGCCACAUUUCUUUGUCGGCUGCAUUAUAAUGAACUUCCGUCAGAUGUGUAACUGUGGCCAUUUUUCAGUCUUUUUACAGGCAGUGGUUGUUUUACUAAGAUGCUCCUACAAAAGGGUCCCCACAAAGGAGCUUCAUCUUCGAGGAGAUUCAUGAAAAUGGCUUUUGAAAAAUAUGGGUUUCUGAUAACCUUAAGAUCAUAAAAAUGAAUGGGGUAAGUGUUUCCAGAACUAAUGGAAAAACUGGACUUAAACAGGACAAAAAAUUAACAAUGGGACUGAACGAAUUAAGGGAAGUGACUGUGAUUGUUAUGGCUCUUGCUUAAAACAUUGCUGGCUUUCUAAUGUUUGCUUUUCCAGACUGAAGAAAACUGUUUCUCAAGCCUUAUAUGAUUUACCACAAUUUGGGAAAUUAUUCACUUGUAAACAAAACGUGAAACGUUUUUCUUCCUGAACCCUCCAGAAUUCUGAAGCUCUCAGUGAGUAUUCUAACUUUUAUGGCCUGUACCCAACCUGCCGCCAGGGGCUGACCGGUCUGCCAGCAUGACGCACCAUUCCCAAGGCCACUGUCGUUCCCUGGUGUUGUGGACCAGGCCCUCAGCCGUGGCAGUGGCCAGCUCGGCCCUGGAAGAGAUCCCCAGGUCAGCGCCAUGUGACGACAGAGAGAAGCUGAAGUGCUGAAGCCACCAGCCCAGGAAGCCACGAUCGCCAGCAAGUACCAGCUGGGGAGUUCGCAGCACUCUCACGGCAGCCCCAGGAAACAAAUACACACCCAGCUUUGCCACAAACUGACUUGCGCUGAUCCUGCUGUAACGUUCUGCCGGCAUAUUCUAGAACUCAACUAUCUGAACUGCCCCAGUGUAAUAGUUGAGAUGCCUUGAAAGUUCUCCCCUGCGGGUUACAUCUGUGUACGCAGGGCAGACAGGGGCCGUUCUUCAGAAAUCCGGGGCUCUGCACUCAGCCUGUUGUGAGUUAAGUGCUCCUCUGUGUCACCAGUGCCGAGACCUUGGCCCAAUCAGGUAACACCUUUGGUCCCAAAUAGCUUCUUCCAUGAACGUGGCCAUAACUGUACUGCCUGAAGAGAUGUGCGGAUUUGGUGGACAGCACAAGUACCUGGGCAGUCCCUGAUUCUACGGCAAUAAAUGCUUGAACUAAAUAAAAAUACCAAAUCCCCCAGUUGGUUGGUUCAUUCAGUAAGUGAAAUCAAAUUUCUGUUAAUAUCAUAGGUUCACAUCACUGAAGAGAUUAUUUAUUUUCACCUGUUAUUUAGAUAUGUAGGAAGAGAAUAACUCAGUUAUACCACGUUUUGUACUUUCUGAAGAGAA